ensembl:lncRNA
CUUUAAUGUAUUUGAGGUUUUCCUACAACCAAGUUAACAAGUAUCUCUUAAGAUUUAUAUAUGAAAUAUACAAGCCUUAAGAUUCACCUGUUGCCCUGUUUGCAUUGUUUCUUUAGUUUAGUAUGUAUGUUGCAAAAUUGUGUGUGUGUGUGUGUGUGUGUGUGUGUGUGUGUGUGUGUGUGUGUGUGUGUGUGUGUGUGUGUGUGUGUGUGUGUGUAUCUGAUUGUGUGUUGAUGAAACACAAAAAGGCUGUUGUGUGCUCUCUCUCUCUCUCUCUCUCUCUCUCCCUCCCUCCCUCUCUCUCUGGCCUGUUUGCACUCAGAUACAGCAGCAGUGAGAUCAUUGAGAUCAGUAUCUACUACGGUGUCAAGCUUAGGUUUGCAACAGCGACCAAGCACUGGCACCUGUCACCUGCUGACAAAUACAGAGUGAACAUCAGGAUUCUGUGGGCACAUCAUGGGAAACUGCACUUCAGGGAUAAAGAAUAAAUGGAAAGGUAAGAGUACAUUUCUAGUUUUUGGUAUAUAUUUAUAUUAAGCCAUACAGUUUUGCUUCAUUUCAUGUAUAUAUUUAAAUGUUUUCUUUCAGGGAAUUUUGCAUCCGAUGAAAAAGAAGGCAGCACAGAUAAUAAGGUAGACCCCCCCCCCCCCCCCCACACCCACACACACACACACACACACACACACACACACACACACACACACACACACACACACACACACACACACACACACAUGGAUGUACUCCCUUGUUAGAUUUGCAUACUUUACAAAAGACAUUGUGAGGCUGUUUAUUUCAUAUGCAGGAAGUCAUAACCACAUAUAGAAAACUGUAUGAGAAAUUAUAAUGAAUGAUGUGUAACAUAUCUUCAGGAAUUGCAUCUCACUCUGUGUAUUAUCUCAUGACAGCCUCAGGAGGAUGUAACGUAUGCCUCUAUUGACCACACCACUGCCAAAAGACCAAACAGAACCAUAGCCACCGCUGACGAUGAUUGUGACUAUGCAACAGUUUAUGUCCCAGCAGCACUUCAACCCGAACCUGUGUCCGAGUGCUCAUCUAAAGACGAAUGUGCAGACGAUUAUGUCAUCAUGGGAUGAACAGGAGGAAAAGUUUAUUCGGUUUAUGGCAAGAUGCAGGACUAGUAGAUAAUAUCGCAAACAGGAGAACAUUUCUGGGAAUCAAAUCUUGAUCUUCAAUAAAGAAACAAAAUUAAAAAAGAAUCAUCUGCAGCCAACAGUAGCUGGCUGCAGAAACACCAAGCACGAAGAUGCUCCCCUACACUUUUGAGGUAACCUCAAGCCUGAACACAACUGUGGUGUCCCUUCCUGUACAAGACAAAAUUGCUUCGCAUUUGACCUCAAUAAAUCUAGUAGCUUCUUCACAUGCACCUUAUUUACACCAUGACCUGAAUGACAGAAUUUUAAAGUCUUUUAAAAUAUUUAAAAUAAUUCCGAUUGUAUGUAUACACAUUUGUUUGCAGCAACAAACAAAAAAAGAUCAACACAAUUAGUGCAGUGUGUAUGUACUACAAAUGGAUUCCUAAAAUGUUGUGACAUUAGCACAAUAUCUGGAAGUAGUACGCUAAAAGUCUACGGUCCGGAGUUCACGGGUUCUAAGCAGUAUGUAAUUGUACACAAAGUGACAAAAUAAAGUAAACUCAAAGCAGGUAGAAUGCACACUAAAUCAGAUGUUUCAUUUUUGACAUUUGUUUAUGUACUGUUAAUAGAUAAUAUUCUUCCCACAAUGCAAUGCACAAAGAAAAUGAAGGAUCAGUUCAUGGCUGAAACAAUUAAAAGAAAUUGUGAGUGGUGGUGAAACAGCUUAAAAUAAUUAUGAAACCUUAGGAAAAAAGAUUUGGCUUUCUUUUUGUAAAGUUAAACAGUCACAGCUUACUUGACUUCUGAUGUUGUGUAAUUUCCUGUAAGUACACUUAUGGCGCACAUACUGUAUAGAAUUAGUAUGCAGUUAAAAUUUUAAACAUAUCUUUAGCAUUUAGGCUUAAAUACUUUUUUGCUUCUGACAAACCAUUAGUUACAACAUCUGAAGCUCUGAGAAUCUUAAUGUCUUCAUUUCUUUUGAUGUUUUUUUUCGAUAUGUUUUUAUUUGCUGACAUUUUGGUCUUAACAAUUGGAGUAUUCAGUGUGUUAUCUUCGGCUUUCAAGAGGAAUGCGGGGUAUACAAGUGGAAGAACUGUUUUUCCACCAUAAAAGGAAAAGAACGGCAGCUAUGAAACAUAAAGUGAACACUGAAGAAGCACAGUAGACAGGAAGGCUAAUAUGAGUCAAUCUGCUGUCACUCUAUGAUUUUCUACAGUAGAUAAACGUUUGAUCUUUAUUUAUAGUCUGUUUUUAUUGACACAGAGCCAAAGCUUUGCUCCACCUUUAACCAAAGUUUCAGUUGCAGAAGCCCCACAUUAAGCUGCCUCGACCAACCUUUACAAACUAAAUUUACCAAUCCAUAAUGGAAUAAUGGAAUGUGUAUAUAAUUGUGUCCACAACACACAUCCUAACCUGCUUUCCAGAGUCUAUGCUCAUUUUGCAAAAUAUCGCUCCUGAGAACUGCUGCACACCACCCAAAUAUACUACAAAUAGAUAUUUAAUUUUCAUGUUUUGUUUAUGAAAGGGGAAAAUACGUACAUUUCUGUCUAUGCCUGUAUCUACCUAUAUGAUUAUUCAUAUGUUUGACUGAAUGCAAAUUAGAGUGCUGUAAGUUGCCUAUGUUUCAUUGUGUUUUUAUUGAUCUUUUUAUUGAUUAAAAGUUGACCUCUUCUACUACUUUUGUUCGUUAUUCUGUUGUAUAAAGUUUAAAGUCAAACUUCAGGAAGAGGAAAUCAUGUUAAUGUGUUCACCAGACAUGCCUUGGAAACUGAAAGUCAAAGUGUGUCAUG